rnacentral:rRNA from 1 species
GAUGAACGCUGGCGGCGUGCCUAAUACAUGCAAGUCAAGCGAACGGACGAGAAGCUUGCUUCUCUGAUGUUAGCGGCGGACGGGUGAGUAACACGUGGAUAACCUACCUAUAAGACUGGGAUAACUUCGGGAAACCGGAGCUAAUACCGGAUAAUAUUUUGAACCGCAUGGUUCAAAAGUAAAAGACGGUCUUGCUGUCACUUAUAGAUGGAUCCGCGCUGCAUUAGCUAGUUGGUAAGGUAACGGCUUACCAAGGCAACGAUGCAUAGCCGACCUGAGAGGGUGAUCGGCCACACUGGAACUGAGACACGGUCCAGACUCCUACGGGAGGCAGCAGUAGGGAAUCUUCCGCAAUGGGCGAAAGCCUGACGGAGCAACGCCGCGUGAGUGAUGAAGGUCUUCGGAUCGUAAAACUCUGUUAUUAGGGAAGAACAUAUGUGUAAGUAACUGUGCACAUCUUGACGGUACCUAAUCAGAAAGCCACGGCUAACUACGUG